rnacentral:rRNA from 1 species
GACGUAGGGCGCGAGCGUUGUCCGGAUUUAUUGGGCGUAAAGAGCUCGUAGGCGGUCUGUCGCGUCUGCUGUGAAAACUCAGGGCUUAACCCUGAGCUUGCAGUGGGUACGGGCAGACUAGAGUGCGGUAGGGGAGACUGGAAUUCCUGGUGUAGCGGUGAAAUGCGCAGAUAUCAGGAGGAACACCAGUGGCGAAGGCGGCAUCCUGGCCCUGACCUGACGCUGAGGAGCGAAAGCGUGGGGAGCGAACAGG